AUUGAACGCUGGCGGCAGGCUUAACACAUGCAAGUCGAGCGAGCGGCGGACGGGUGAGUAAUGUCUGGGAAACUGCCUGACGGAGGGGGAUAACUACUGGAAACGGUAGCUAAUACCGCAUACCAUCAGAUGUGCCCAGAUGGGAUUAGCUAGUUGGUGGGGUAAUGGCUAACCUAGGCGACGAUACCUAGCUGGUCUGAGAGGAUGACCAGACACACUGGAACUGAGACACGGUCCAAACUCCUACAGAAGGCAGCAGUGGAGAAUAUUGGACAAUGGGCGCAAGCCUGAUGCAGCCAUGCCGCGUGUGUGAAGAAGGCCUUAGUGUUGUAAAGCUCUUUCAGCGAGGGGGCGUUACUCGCAGAAGAAGCACCGGCUGACUCCGUGCCAGCAGCCGCGGUAAUUC
rnacentral:rRNA from 1 species